AUGAUAUGUAGGCCUAAUAAUAAUCAUAGUUUAACAUAAAAUGUAAGGUUAAUUUCUAUCACAGUACAUACAUACAACAGAUGAAGUUCCAGAGGAAAAGGGAGGACGGCCGUCCUCCCAUUGACUCCCAUGUUAAAAAAAAUUGGAAAAAGCUGAAUAGUUUAAAAGUUGAAAGAGUUGAAAACCGUGAUAGAUAGCCAUCAUAGCGUUAAAGAGCUGACGUUUUGAAUGGUUUCUGUAGCUGAAAGUAUGGCGGAGGAGUUGAACACCAAAAAACGGGAGGAGGAAGAAUAAAAAUAAGAAUAAUAAAGAUUUCAAUAUCUAGGGUGUGAACACUAGAAAUUGCAUUUCCUGCAGAAAACGCGUGUGAAUGCUGGCGGCUGAAUGAAAAGGGCAAAGCAUUGCUGAAAAUGAAGAAAUGUAAAAUUAAUUGAACCGAAGAAUCUGAAAGUAGUAGCUGAAGUAGUAGUAGUAGCUGAAGUAGUAGUAGCUGUAGUAUAAGUAGUAGUAGCUGAAAUAAUAGUAGUUGUAGUAGCUAAAGUAGUAGUAGCUGAAGUAGUAGAAGCUGAAGUAUUAGGUAGUAGCUGAAGUAGUUGUAGUAGCUGAAGUAGUAGAAGUAGCUGAAGUUGUAGUAGAAGUAGCUAAAGAAGUAGUAGUAGCUGAAGUAGUAGGUAGUAGCUGAAGUAGUAGGUAGUAUCUGAAGUAGUAGUUGUAGCUGAAGUAGUAGGCAGAAGCUGAAGUAGUAAUAGAAGCUGAAGUAGUAGUAGUAGCGGAAGUAAUUGUAGUAGCUGAAGUAGUAGUAGAAGCUGAAGUGGUAGUAGAAGUAGCUGACGUAGUAGGUAGUAGCUGAGGUAAUAGGUAGUAGCUGAGAUAGUAGUAGGUAGAAGCUGAAGUAGUAGUACUAGUAGCUGAAGUAGUAGGCAGAAGCUGAAGUAGUAGGUAGAAGCUGAAGUAGUAGGUAGUAGCUUAAGUAGUUGUUGUAGCUUAGGUAGAAGUAGUAGCUGAAGUAUUAGGUAGUAGCUGAAGUAGUAGUAGUAGUAGUAGUUGUAUUGGUAGGAGUAGUAGUAAUGGUUGUAGUAGUAGCUGAAGUAGUAGUUGUAGCUGAAGUAGUAGUAGUAGUAAUGGUAGUCGUAGUAGUGGUAGUAGUAGUAGGCAGUAGAAAUGUUGAUUAGCUCUAAUCAAGUGAGAGAUUUUAACGAAGUUCAAAAUGUUAAAAUCGUAUUGGAAUAAAGCUGUGUGUGUUUGUGUGUGUGUGUUGGUGUGUCUUAAGAGAAUGGCGGAGCCAUUGCCUGUGUGUGUGUUUGUGUGUGUGUGUCUCUUUAAAAGAAUGGCGGAGCUAUUGCGUUUGUGUGUGAGUGUGCCUGAACGUCCUCAGUUCUGACGUCAACGGAAAUCAAUGAGAGCAACUGAAUACUCUGACGGUUGGAAACUAAAACUGUGAUUCUGAUCCGUAGAUAUUAUUGAAGAUACAAGUGUGUCGAUUUGUUACAUGGUUGGAACGAAGAUAAACUGUACGAUAUAUAGAUAUAUAAUAGCAGGCCUGUCGCACCAGUUACUCAAGUUACUCAUGUGUGCAUGUGCCAAGCAGCCUGCAGCUCACACACACACACAGCACUCGCGAAGGCCUGCAUACACAGCAAGCACGCACAUACACAUGGCUCCCAUGUUAAAAAAAAGUGGAAAAAGCUGAAUAGUUUAAAAAGUUGAAAGAGUUGAAAACGCUGAUCGAUAGCCAUCAUGUCGUUAAAGAGCUGAACGUUAUGAUAUUUGAAUGGUUUCUGUAGCUGAAAGUAUGGCGGAGGAGUUGAACACCAAAAAACGGGAGGAGGAAGAAUAAAAAUAAGAAUAAUUAAGAUUUCAAUAUCUAGAGUGAUGUGUGAAUGCUACAGCAUUCACGAUAAUAAGAAUAAUAAAGAUUUCAAUAUCUAGGGUGUGAAUACUAGAAAUUGCAUUUCCUGCAGAAAAUGCAUGUGAAUGCUGACGGCUGAAUGAAAAGUGCGAAGCAUUGCUGAAAAUUAAGAAAUGUAAAAUUGAUUGAACCAAAGAAUCUGAAAGUAGUAGCUGAAGUAGUAGUAGUAGUAGUUGCUAAAGUAGUAGGCAGUAGCUAAAGAAGUAGUGGUAGCUGAAGUAGUAGGUAGUAGCUGAAGUAGUAGUAGCUGAAGUAAUAAGCUGAAGUAGUAGAAGCUGAAGUAGUAAUAGAAGCUGAAAUAGUAGUAGUAGCUGAAGUAGUUGUAGUAGCUGAAGUAAUAGUUGUAGCUGAAGUAGUGGGUAGUAGCUGAAGUAGUUGUAGUAGCUGAAGUAAUUGUAGUAGCUGAAGUAGUAGUAGUACUAGAAGCUGAAAUGGUAGUAGAAGUAGCUGACGUAGUAGGUAGUAGCUGAGGUAAUAGGUAGCAGCUGAGGUAGUAGUAGUAGCUGAAGUAGUAUGUAGUAGCUGAAGUGGUAGUAGUAGUAGCUGAAGUAGUAGGUAGUAGCUGAAGUAGUAGGUAGUAUGGGGGAAAUUAACCAUUACUUUUAUAUUAACUUUGAGCAUUAUCAGGCCUAUAUAUAUAUAUCAGGCAUAUACAUUAAAGGUGCCAUGGCAUGAAAAUUGCACAUUAUGAGGUUCUCUAACAUAAAUAUGAGUUCCCCUCGCCUGCCUAUGGUCCCCAAGUGGCUAAAACUUGCGUUCGGUUUAAAACGAGAACUAGGUGUUCUGCUCGCCUUUGGAAAAAAACGGAGGCUCAAGCCCGCUGAUUUGGAAUGUGGUUUCCUAUGUCGUCACGCUGCAGUAAGCUCCUCCCCUUACUCUGCCUGGCCCGCCCAGAGACUUGGCCCGCCAAUGAGACACGACCGUGUGAGCGCCACAUAAUGUGUGUGUGUAAGUGUUUCUUGUCGGUUCUUUGACGUCUCUUGUAUUUCCACAACGAGACUGUAGUGGGGGUUAUCUCAGCCAUGGUUGAGAAGGAAUUGGGGGAAAGGAACUUUGGCUUUGACUCCCUGAAGUACAUGAACUGCGACAUGCCGCCGGUUGCCGCGAGGCACCACCGGCAUCAGGCAGCGUGCGGUUCAGUCUACUUCAGAUUGAUGUGAAAGUAGAAGAACCAGAGACGUUGCAGAACCAGACAAAGUCGUUUUUUGAUUCAUAAUAUCGUCUGGAGGCGCACACAGCUUUUGGCAGUGAUAAUAUGUAUUAUAUAAUAUAGAUAUCUAUGUAUGAUAUUAUUUAGAUAUAGAGCUCCAGGACUGUAACGCAAGCGUUGUACACUUCCUUGUUAUUUGGAUAACCGUUCUGCUUUUGGUGUUAUGGCGCAUAACACGUCGGACUCUCGUCUCUGGUAUUUCUACAACGAGACUCGUAGUGGGGGUUAUCUCAGCCAUGGUUGAGAAUGAAUUGGGGGAAAGGAACUUUGGCUUUGACUCCCUCAAGAACAUGAACCACGACUUGGAGGAGAAAGGGAUUGUUGGCGGCGAAUGUCUCCCGCUUGAGCCCCGCUUCCCGCUGCCGAGGUACUACCGCGCUGCAGGAGGCGGAGGUGCCUAAGCGCUGCCCGGCAACAAUCCCUUUCUCCUCCUUGUCACGGUUCAGUCUACUUCACAUUGAUGUGGACGUGGAAGAACCAGGAACGUCGGAGAACCCAACACGGUCGUUUGAGAUUCAUAAUAUCGGCUCACACAGCUUUUGGCCGUGAUAAUAUAUAGUGGGUGGGGUGGCUGUAACUAUGCACCACGGCUGAAUUUCGGGAACGUCUUUGAAUACUAUGUUAGUGGCCCACUAAUACCUAUAUUAAAGCAUCCAUAAAAUAGCAUGUCAAGGCACCUUUUAAUGGUGGAAAGCAGAAAAAAACACCUCUGGACUCAGAGUUGGGCCUCAUACAGAGCCAGGCAGUCUAGGGCUAAGGCGUACUGACAUCCUCCCAUUAUUUAGAUUAUCUGCAGGAGAUGACCACAUACUUAAAGGAAUUUAUGGUUGACCGUCCCUGCCAUAUGAGGGAAUUCUGAGCCUGUACCGAAGGCGGUCAUUUGAUAUGCAAAACAGCUCAGUUUGAAUGGAUAAAGACCGGGAUCGGACGACCCGGCAGUGUCUUUGCAAACCUCGCUCUGCGUUGUUGUUUCUCGUUUGCGGGUAACAAUAAAGUCUCUGUCAAUACUUUAUCCGGACUCCCCGAUUCCUCAUGUUCUCUUCAAUUAGUU